CUUGCUUCUCUUGAGAGCGGCGGACGGGUGAGUAAUGCCUAGGAAUCUGCCUGGUAGUGGGGGAUAACGUUCGGAAACGGACGCUAAUACCGCAUACGUCCUACGGGAGAAAGCAGGGGACCUUCGGGCCUUGCGCUAUCAGAUGAGCCUAGGUCGGAUUAGCUAGUUGGUGGGGUAAUGGCUCACCAAGGCGACGAUCCGUAACUGGUCUGAGAGGGUGAUCAGUCACACUGGAACUGAGACACGGUCCAGACUCCUACGGGAGGCAGCAGUGGGGAAUAUUGGACAAUGGGCGAAAGCCUGAUCCAGCCAUGCCGCGUGUGUGAAGAAGGUCUUCGGAUUGUAAAGCACUUUAAGUUGGGAGGAAGGGUUGUAGAUUAAUACUCUGCAAUUUUGACGUUACCGACAGAAUAAGCACCGGCUAACUCUGUGCCAGCAGCCGCGGUAAUACAGAGGGUGCAAGCGUUAAUCGGAAUUACUGGGCGUAAAGCGCGCGUAGGUGGUUUGUUAAGUUGGAUGUGAAAUCCCCGGGCUCAACCUGGGAACUGCAUUCAAAACUGACUGACUAGAGUAUGGUAGAGGGUGGUGGAAUUUCCUGUGUAGCGGUGAAAUGCGUAGAUAUAGGAAGG
rnacentral:rRNA from 1 species